AACGAACGCUGGCGGCAUGCCUAACACAUGCAAGUCGAACGCCCUCUUCGGAGGGAGUGGCGCACGGGUGCGUAACGCGUGGGAACCUGCCCUUAGGUUCGGAAUAACUCAGAGAAAUUUGAGCUAAUACCGGAUAAUGUCUUCGGACCAAAGAUUUAUCGCCUUUGGAUGGGCCCGCGUUGGAUUAGCUAGUUGGUGGGGUAAAGGCCUACCAAGGCGACGAUCCAUAGCUGGUCUGAGAGGAUGAUCAGCCACACUGGGACUGAGACACGGCCCAGACUCCUACGGGAGGCAGCAGUGGGGAAUAUUGGACAAUGGGCGAAAGCCUGAUCCAGCAAUGCCGCGUGAGUGAUGAAGGCCUUAGGGUUGUAAAGCUCUUUUACUGGGGAUGAUAAUGACAGUACCGGAAGAAGAAGCACCGGCUAACUCUGUGCCAGCAGCCGCGGUAAU
rnacentral:rRNA from 1 species